rfam:Eurypyga helias contig22220, whole genome shotgun sequence.
AAAGAGGUCUUUCUAAAGACCACAACAGCCUUUGAAGCACACUUUAG